rnacentral:rRNA from 1 species
CCGCGGUAAUACGGAGGGUGCGAGCGUUAAUCGGAAUUACUGGGCGUAAAGCGCACGCAGGCGGUUUGUUAAGCUAGAUGUGAAAGCCCCGGGCUCAACCUGGGAUGGUCAUUUAGAACUGGCAGACUAGAGUCUUGGAGAGGGGAGUGGAAUUCCAGGUGUAGCGGUGAAAUGCGUAGAUAUCUGGAGGAACAUCAGUGGCGAAGGCGACUCCCUGGCCAAAGACUGACGCUCAUGUGCGAAAGUGUGGGUAGCGAACAGGAUUAGAUACCCUGGUAGUCCACACCGU